rnacentral:misc_RNA from 1 species
AACUGAUACUACCUGCGGGAACCUGCGGAGGGAUCAUUACAGAGUUUACAACUCCCAAACCCACUGUGAACCUUACAGCGUCGUUGCCUCGGCGGACCGCCCCCGGCGCGGCCCCCCUCGGGGGGGCGCCCGGGACCACGGCGCCCGCCGGAGGACCCAAACUCUUGUAUUUGCAGGAUGCAUUGCUCUGAGUGAAAACAAGCAAAUGAAUCAAAACUUUCAGCAACGGAUCUCUAGAUC